rnacentral:rRNA from 10 species
CAGACCUCUGAUCAGAAA